CCUACGGGAGGCAGCAGUGGGGGAUAUUGUACAAUGGGGGAAACCCUGAUGCAGCGACGCCGCGUGGGCGAAGAAGUAUUUCGGUAUGUAAAGCCCUAUCAGCAGGGAAGAAGAAAUGACGGUACCUGAGUAAGAAGCACCGGCUAAAUACGUGCCAGCAGCCGCGGUAAUACGUAUGGUGCAAGCGUUAUCCGGAUUUACUGGGUGUAAAGGGAGCGCAGGCGGCACGGCAAGCCUGAUGUGAAAGUCCGCGGCCCAACCGCGGGACUGCAUUGGGAACUACCGGGCUGGAGUGCCGGAGAGGUAGGCGGAAUUCCUAGUGUAGCGGUGAAAGGCGUAGAUAUUAGGAGGAACACCAGUGGCGAAGGCGGCCUACUGGACGGUGACUGACGCUGAGGCUCGAAAGCGUGGGGAGCAAACAGGAUUAGAUACCCCUGUAGUC
rnacentral:rRNA from 1 species